rnacentral:rRNA from 1 species
AAUAUUGGACAAUGGGCGCAAGCCUGAUCCAGCCAUGCCGCGUGAGUGAUGAAGGCCUUAGGGUUGUAAAUCUCUUUCACUGGUGAAGUUAAUGACGGUAGCCGGAGAAUAAGCCCCGGCUAACUUUGUUCCAGUAUCCGCGGUCAUACGAAGGGGGCUAGCGUUGUUCGGAAUUACUGGGCGUAAAGCGCACGUAGGCGGAUUGGUCAGUUAGGGGUGAAAUCCCAGGGCUCAACCCUGGAACUGCCUUUAAUACUGCCGGUCUUGAGUUCGAGAGAGGUGAGUGGAAUUCCGAGUGUAGAGGUGAAAUUCGUAGAUAUUCGGAGGAACACCAGUGGCGAAGGCGGCUCACUGGCUCGAUACUGACGCUCAGACACGAAAGCGUGGGGAGCAAACA